rnacentral:tRNA from 1 species
AUUUAAGUAGUUUAUAUAAAAUAUAGGUUUGUGGUUCCUAAGAAGUAUUUUGCCUUAAAUU